AUGGCUUUAAAACUGAAAUACAAGGACGAGCACGGGAUUCUCCACAUCAACAUGAGUCCAUCGGGAACCCCGAAGGAGCCGGAGCCACCCGAACCCCCUGAAAAAGCGGACAUAACCGACCCCAAGUUCGACUCCAUCAACUCUCGCUUCGGCCAGUACGACUUAUUCGGGGGCAAAUAUGACGACAGUGGUGGGGAUACGCCACAGUCGCUUUUCAGAAGCCGCUACAACAGCAUAGAGGAGGAAUUGGCUAAUACGCCUUACGCUUUCGCUACAGAACGGUCGCUCAGACUGAACAAUACAAACACACUCGAUAUAACGAUUCGUUCGCGGUUAGACGAAGCGUCGCCGAGCAAAGACAUCGAGGACGAUAGAUACUUCCGCAACACCGAGUUGUUCGGGCCGCAAAUCGAUUCGCAAAUCGAUUCGCAAAUCGAUUCGAAAAUCGAUGAGACUCCCGCGUUCACCGUGACGCAGCUGAUACACGCGCAGGAUCGGUAUUUCGAUUUAUCGAGCCGACAAUCGAGUGUUACAAGCCCGGGUAAAGUGAAAAGUUUGACGAAUAGUUUCGAAGUGCGCAGUGUGCCGGGGUCGGGGAAGGAGAGGACGGUGAGGAUUGUUGACAGUGCGCGCGCGCAGGAUGAAGCGUUUAAGGUGCUGUGUUCAACGGAAACUGAAGUGAAGACUGCGCAAGUGGAGUCUUCGACUACUCAACCAGUGGUGCCAACGUCAAAAAGGAAGCGAGAGUCGUCGUUCGCGAUCAUCGCUGAGACGCCGACAGUGUCACGGCCGUCCAGCCCGAGAUCACUUCCCGUGGAAAUUCGUCCGGGCAGAGUCUCGCCUUUCAAAGGUCGCGGCUUCAAGGAAAGCUCUACAAGACAUAACACGCCAAGAACUUCUGCGGCGAAUUCCAGAGCCAACUCUCCUCCACGAAGAAGAACUAACUCCUUGCCUAGAAUAGACAAAAUGGCACAAGCUGCCGCUCUGCCCCCGCCGAUACUGAAUCUGUCUUCAAGACCGCAUUCCCCUAGGAAUUUCCUUAAAGAAAACAUAGAAGAAGUAAGAGAAUUAAGUGAACUCAACAGAGAAAAGCACGAAGCAGAAGCUGAAAGAAAAAGGAAAGAAGAAGAGGAAGCGUUAUUAAAAGAAAUGGGACUUACAGAAAAGAAUGCAAAGAGUGAUGCAAUCAGAAGUGUUGUUUGUUCCCGCGCUACAUCUAGAAGUAGUUCACCGAACAAAAUUAGUUUCAGAUCUAGAUCGAAUUCCCCAUCAGCUAUAUUACAUUUUCAGAAUAUACCAGCUGGUAGCGAAGAAUUUAUUAAUGGGGACGAUGGCAUGCCAAAACAGGUAACACACAAAUCAAGAAUCAGAUCCGUCUCAAGGUCCCAACCGCAAUCUAAUGAUGGAUCUCCAAAACACUCUAAAAUACCUAAGCGACAAAGUUCUGUCUCACCUGCGAGAACUAACAAUUGGAGAGACAGGUCUAAUUCCAGAUACUCGCCAGAAAAUAAUUUGAACAAAAAUCAAAGAUUCAUAUCUAAUAGCACUAGUAGUAUUCAUGAAACUAUAAAAGUUGGAAGCCAAGCUCAUGAUAAACGUGUUAUAAGUAAAAGCACUCAACAUUUAAACAUUGCUCCGGCACAUAUAAAAGGAAAGCCACCAAUUUCGCCAGGACGAAAUGGUCCACCUCCAGCAAACAAGUCUAUAAAUGCCAAACGCCUGUCCCCAAUCGUAGGCACGCCAAAUAAAAGUCCAGUUGAAGAUCUGAAACCCAAAUCUGCCAAAACACCAACCAAACCCUCACCGGUGGUCAGAAAGUCUGUGAAAACUGCUGGAAAUACACCUGUUACAUCUAGAUUAAAUUCUAGACAGCCUAGCAGAACUGUGAGCAGAGACACUAGCCCUGACAAACGUAAAGCUAAUACUAAAUCCGUUUUAAAACCUACCACAAAAUCACCCACCAAACCUAUCACUAGGGCAACAAGCACAAAGACGACUCAUAAAACUACAGUAUCUCCAACCAAGCCUGAGCCCAAAAAACCUAUGAAUAGAACAAAUAGUAUGAAAAGUUUGACUAGAACUCCAAGUACUAGAACACUAGUUGACAAACCACCGCUACUUCAAAAACGAGAUAGCAAAAGAGACUUGACUGCUAAAGCUCAUUCAACAAGUAAGCUUAACGAAGUUGGAGCGAAAAAGGAUAACCCUAAACAAGAUGACAGAAAAUCUCUUAAAUCAGGGGUAAGCAAAGAAAAAAUAUCACCUCAGAAAAGCGAAAACAAAAAGAAGGAAAAUAAAACAAGUGCUAGGAAAACAGCUGAUACUACUACUACUACUGUGGAAGAAGUUGCAAAACAAGACAACGAGACACAGUAUGAUAAAAUUACAAACGAUAAAGGUGAAUUAGUCAUUCUGACAAAAAAGAGCGUAGUUUCUAUGACUACUGCAGCAAUCACAUCACAGCCUCUCGAAGUUGUAACAACCGUUACCAAUCAGUUGCCAGCAGCUUUUGAAAAGGCGAGAGAAAAAGGAAUAUUUGAGAGAUUAAGUUCAAGAGAUUCCUUGGCUCCCAAAGAAGAGAAGGAAACCGAAACUAUCAAAACAGAUACAAAAGAUGUUGCAGAUGAUAAAGAUAAAGACAAAAGCAAAGAGAAAGAAAAGAGCAAAGAAAAAAUUAAGGAAAUUAACAAAGAAUCUGAGAAAGAAUCUGAAAAAGAAAAAGAGAUAGAAAAAGAUAAACUAGACGAUAAGAAGCAAACCAAACCGGGGAAAUCUGCUGCUGCAAUGUUUUUAGACGACAACGUUAAACUAAAACCAUUGCAGCCACCUUUCAAUAACCCACACUUAGAAAGAGUCAGACACAAAAUUGACGAAAUUUUAAAAGAACCUGAAGUGUCCACUGAAAAUAUUUUGGCAUCAACUUCUAAAACAAUAAAAGAAACUAAAAGUACAUUCAAAAGUGUUGCCGAUAAAACGAAAACUGAUAUAAAGGAGGCCAAUGAGGCUAAAGAUGUAAUGGCGGCUAAAUUCAGUGAUAUAAAAGACCAAGCGGUGCAACAAAACGAUAAAAUGGCUGCAGAAAUUCGUUCUGAAGCUAGUAAAAUUGUGGACAGUAUCAUUACUCCUAUUGAAGAACCUAAAGAGGUAAAAGAGAAAGUUCUGGACGCAAUUAAAAAAGAUGUAGAGCCAAUAGUGGUCGUUGUUAAUGAAAAGCAGAAAAGUAUUGUUACGGAGGCUGAGAAAAUGACAGAAACUCUCGUCAAGGGGGAACCUGAAGUGGAGGUGCAGAGUUCCAAUGUAUCGACACCAGCGGCGGAGAAAAUGGAAAAAAUUGCACCAAAGAAAAUGACUGAUGGGAAUGACUCCGAUAAAUCAACGCACAGCAAUGGCGGGUUUCCGCAAAGCACAAGCACGACACCAAAACCACCAGCUCGGACCAAUAGAAAGCAUUCUAGAGAUGAAAAAACCACGUCUUCCAAUGAGAGCAAAGAGCCGACGCCAGAGUCGACGAAGCAGCCAAACAUAUGCGUUCGACUCAUGAGGAAGUGCAAGAACAAGUGCUGUCCUUGUUGCGUGAAGGGGGAGAGCGAUGAUGAGACAGAGAUGGCGGAUGUGGAAGCGCAGAAGACGGGAACAUUGAGUAAGCUGAACUGCUGUAAGAAGAAAGAAGAUGAAACAGAGAUCGAAAAGGCGGCAGGGAAGACAUCGACAAUAGAAUUCGAGAGUGAAACGAAACGCAAACGAAAAGUCCGCGACAUCUUCUGCGGGUGCUGCGGCCGGCGCCGGCGCGUGAGCGAUGUCUCGGACAUCCAGCCGCGGAAUAUCGGCGACGUCGCUGCCGUGCCGGGCGUUGUUGAUACGGGCUGCUGCGGGAAAAGGAGGCCUGAGGUUGAGAGGAGAGACAGCAUUUUAAGUGAUAGGCCUCCAGCGAAUUGCUGCACCCGGCUCUGCACGUGGCUGCGAGGCUCGUGCCGGAGACACUCGGAGCAGUCCUCCAGCCGCCGCACCAGCAUGUUCUCCAAGAACAAAAGCCUGUCACCCACGCUGCCGCCUGAGGAUACCCGCAAGAAGUUGGACCCCACCCUGGUGGAACAUGCAAGUGUGAUGCGCGGCGCGAUCCCGGUACUCCCCAUAGUGCUGGCAUACUUCUGCCUGCUCUGCAAUGUCGUGGUGCCGGGACUCGGUACUAUAUUCAGCGGAAUGUUCUGCUUGUGUUUUGGAAUCCCCAGGUUUGGAGUGCACGACGGCGCCAAACAUAGGAUAGGUUCAUUUCUGAUCAAUCUACUGGUGGGUUGCGGUCAGCUGUUCACGGUGCUCUUCUGCCUAGUUGGCUGGGGCUGGUCCAUUUGGUGGGGCGUCAUCUUCGUCAAAGUUGCGCGUAAAUACCGCAAGUUAAAAGCGGAGGCGGACGCGGAGGAGGCUGAAGCGGCGCCGCCCGUCACCGCCAACAACCACACGCGCGCGUAACGACCACGACACGAUUACGACACGAUCACGACACGACAAUGAGUACAAACCUAAAAUGGAACUAGAAAAAUAAUUGUUGUUUCUGCGUGCGAAUGACAUGACUAUAGUUUCACAUGAGGGUAAACGAUUAGAUACCUGAGGUAAAUGACAACUGAAAUUUUCGAAGACUAAUUUUUGGUUAUGUCGAUUUACAUUAUCGUAAUUUGACAUAGUUUAAGUAACAGUGGUUUUUUGUUUUAUUUCUCCCUUCACGUACAGCAUUUGAACUUAAGUCAUGUCGCUCGCAUAUGUAUAGGUACUGCCUUUAAGUGUUUUAACAAGGCUCCUAUGACUUGGACCUCAAGUUUGUUCGGCAAUAAAUAUUGAAAAAAACGUUUGAAAAUGUUCCUUUUGAGGAUUUUAGAUAUUAAAUAUAAUGCACAAAACAAACUUGAUGCCCAAAACAACUUGCAACGGAAUAACCAGAAAAUGCAUUAAACUGAUAUUUGAAAAAAAAUUAAAUAUUCUUGUAAUUUAUGAAAUUGUAAAUAAAAAACUAAGAAUAUUGGACACGGCGGAUUAAUUGAAAAUUGAAAAUGUAGAAUUACUUCUGCUGGUCAGAAAUUGUAACCGGUUUCACGGUUUUUCCAAUUUUAACUUCUAUUCGAAGUUUUCCGGUCGAUGUAUGGCCUUUUUUGAACUUAUUAUUAAGAACACUUCUUUGUACAUGGUAUUAUAAGCCCCAAGCGCUUGAAAAAGUAUUAUCUUAGUGCGACGUAGAUAGAAGUAUAAUUGGCCGAGAAUAUUUGACUCGGGCAUAACCAUAAAUCAGCGUUAUUUUAUAAAGAUGGAUGUAUAUGCAUAAAUUAGCUGACUUGGCGGCCAUUUUUUGUGAUAACACGCUGUUUUGGUAGAUUUUGUAUGGAGGCCCAGUCAUGUAUCACAAUGUAAAGAGAAAUUGAAAACCUGGAGUGUUUGCGCCAAUUAAUUAUCUGUGCGCAAUUUCCAUUGUAAAAAAAAAAAAAAGAAGAAAAAUCUUCCCGCCUUUUUUUGAACGUUUUUCCGAAUACACAUCUUUUUAUCGAGUCCAAAGUUUUAUUUCGUCAAAAAUUAUAAAUCAGGACUAGUUGUCCUCAUCAUGGUCCAAAACCGAAGCCGGAUGAAUAAUUAACGUGGAUCAGCGUUAAUAUGAACAAUUUCAGUAAAUUUGACGAUUAUUAAUAUCACCGGACUCGAGGCGGCAUUACUACCUAAAGGAAAAUUCUGCAGAUGACGGAGUACAUUUAUAUGGUGUUAAGUAGUAAUAUUAUAUUUAAAUAACUAACCCAACACUCGAACAGGCGAGUGUUGGGAAAUUGUAACCUUACGUUUGAAGAACUUAACACCACGUUAGUCCAGAUUGAGGCAAUAUUAAAUUCACGUCCACUGACGCCUCUGUCUUCCGAUCCAGCAGAUUGCACCCCAUUGACUCCAGGACAUUUUUUGAUAGGCCGGCCUCUUACUUCACUUCCACGGCAUGAUAUCAAGGACCAUUCCACUGCUUCAUUAUCACGUUUCCAACGAAUAGAGCAGCUACGCUAGCAUUUUUGGGCUCGUUGGAGUAAGGAGUUCGUGUCUGAGUUGCAGCACAGAACCAAGUGGCAAAAGGGCAACGAUACACUGAAGCUGGGUGCAUUGGUCGUCGUAAAGGAAGAUCAUCUACCUCCUCUCA